GGGGUUGUGGCUCUGUGGUAGAGAGCCUACCUGGUAUGUGUGAGGCACUGAGUUCGAUCCUCAGCACCUCA
rnacentral:tRNA from 1 species